GCCGGCAGUUAGCUCUCUGCAACUCUCACAUGCUUGCCCACUGAAGCUAAGUAGGGCUGCGCCCGGACAGUACCUGGAUGGAAGACCACAUAAGAAAGCUAGGUUGCUGCCGGAA
ensembl:rRNA 5S_rRNA 5S ribosomal RNA